GCGGGGGUCGCCAAGCCUGGUCAACGGCGCAGGACUUAAGAUCCUGUCUCCAGUGAGUUCGUGGGUUCAAAUCCCACCCCCCGCA
rnacentral:tRNA from 1 species